rnacentral:rRNA from 1 species
GACGAACGCUGGCGGCGUGCUUAACACAUGCAAGUCGAACGAUGAAGCCGGAGCUUGCUCUGGUGAAUUAGUGGCGAACGGGUGAGUAACACGUGAGUAACCUGCCCUUGACUCUGGGAUAACUGCGGGAAACUGUAGCUAAUACCGGAUACGACCCUCGGAGGCAUCUCCUGGGGGUGGAAAGAAUUUCGGUCAAGGAUGGACUCGCGGCCUAUCAGCUAGUUGGUGAGGUAAAGGCUCACCAAGGCGACGACGGGUAGCCGGCCUGAGAGGGAGACCGGGCACACUGGAACUGGGACACGGUCCGGACUCCUACGGGGGGCAGCAGUGGGGAAUAUUGCUCAAUGGGCGAAAGCCUGAUGCAGCAACGCCGCGUGAGGGAUGAAGGCCUUCGGGUUGUAAACCUCUUUUAGUAGGGAAGAAGCGAAAGUGACGGUACCUGCAGAAAAAGCACCGGCUAACUACGUGCCAGCAGCCGCCGUAA